AGAGUUGAUCAUGGCUCAGGACGAACGCUGGCGGCGUGCCUAACACAUGCAAGUCGAGCGAGGAGAUCCUUCGGGAUGAUCCUAGCGGCGGACGGGUGAGUAACACGUGGGCAACCUGCCUCAUAGAGAGGAAUAGCCUUCCGAAAGGGAGAUUAAUACCUCAUAACAUUGCAGUUUCGCAUGGAACAGCAAUUAAAGGAGUAAUCCGCUAUGAGAUGGGCCCGCGGCGCAUUAGCUAGUUGGUGAGGUAACGGCUCACCAAGGCGACGAUGCGUAGCCGACCUGAGAGGGUGAUCGGCCACAUUGGGACUGAGACACGGCCCAGACUCCUACGGGAGGCAGCAGUGGGGAAUAUUGCACAAUGGGGGAAACCCUGAUGCCAGCAACGCCGCGUGAGUGAUGACGGCCUUCGGGUUGUAAAGCUCUGUCUUCAGGGACGAUAAUGACGGUACCUGAGGAGGAAGCUACGGCUAACUACGUGCCAGCCGCGGC
rnacentral:rRNA from 1 species